GAGGAAUAUUGGUCAAUGGGCGCGAGCCUGAACCAGCCAAGUAGCGUGAAGGAUGACUGCCCUAUGGGUUGUAAACUUCUUUUAUAAGGGAAUAAAGUGAGGCACGUGUGCCUUAUUGUAUGUACCUUAGGAAUAAGCAUCGGCUAACUCCGUGCCAGCAGCCGCGGUAAUACGGAGGAUGCAAGCGUUAUCCGGAUUUAUUGGGUUUAAAGGGAGCGUAGGCGGACUAUUAAGUCAGCUGUGAAAGUUUACGGCUCAACCGUGAAAUUGCAGUUGAAACUGGUCGUCUUGAGUGCAGUAAAGGUGGGCGGAAUUCGUGGUGUAGCGGUGAAAUGCUUAGAUAUUAGGAGGAACACCAGUGGCGAAGGCGACUCUCUGGACUGUAACUGACGCUGAGGCACGAAAGCGUGGGGAGCAAACA
rnacentral:rRNA from 1 species